GCCAGUAUGACAAUCACAAUCACAUUUCAUUAUACCUUAAGUUACCUCCUAAUUGGAAGUAUAUUAGUUUCGGAGAGCGACAUGUAACAGCUUUGGGUUCCAUUUAAGAACCACAAGUGACAGCUUAUUCAAGUUACACGAGAUUUACCAAUGUUCUUCUUCAUCGCCAGUUUCUGCUUCGGUUGUGUUUUUCUUGCUGAUCAUCACUGCUUGUACUGCAAGUGCAUCAAGAGACAUGAAAUGGAAGUUUGAGGCUGAUACUCUUUCAACAUUUCAAGAGGAUUCUGAUCUCUGUUUGAAAGCUAUUUGUGAUCUCUACCGACACCAAAUAUCUGAAGAUGCCAAGAAGGUGUUCCAUGACAGUAAUGCAGUCAGGGGUACUAAUUUGGCUAAGUUUUUGCAUAUCAAGAAGUCUGUUAAAGAUAUGGAGACAUUAGAUGAACGUCAUCCAUCUAAUUUGAAGGCAAGACUUAUCGCGGAAACACCAUAAGUACACUCCUGAUCUUUCAAAGAGAUCAAGGCAGGAUUAUGAUUCCCCUGAACAAUCUCCCACUCCUAGCAUGGGCAAAGGUCUAAGCUUGAUCUUGGUUCUGUUUCUAGUGUGUUUAGUCAUCGGGUUAAUGUUCAUAAUACACAAAGUUUUUCGAGCACCUACACCACAGCAUCAUCAACAGCAUAAGUCGAGCUGCAGCCAAUCCCUUCAGCAAGAGCUCCUCUACAUGGCCAGCUAAUCUUCCUCCAGAAGCCUGGUGCUGCUCCAAUCCCAAUGUGGAGGGCUCUAGAGAUAUAAGCCUAUUCUGCGAGUGGUUAUCCUUUAAACUGUUGUUCCCUUUCACACUGUGUUUGUUGAACCUCCAUAUCAUUUAAUUCUUGUUCUUUUGAAAGACGUUUUGUUUGAAUGCUGAACUCAUUGUGUCAUAUAUUGUUGAAUGGUUUUCAUUCCGAGGAAGACUUUAAGAUAUGAAUUGGUUUAU